AUGGAUCGGCCUGCUGGUUGGGGUGAGGCAGGAGGCCGGACCCCGACCGCGAUCUCUCGUGAGGAGGUCAUUACGUUUGGAGGGAUUCAGGAUCCGAUGUCUGAGGGGCGCCGGGUGAGUGGCCGUCUCCAGGCACAGCCGGACGUGGACGACAUUCAGCAACGGUGCGCCAUGAGGGCGGCUAAGCUUCGUGACGUCGAGGUCACUACUGGUAUGUCAGUCAAUACUUCUAAUUCCAUUUUGCAUUUUUCAAAUGAUGAGAUUGUUGAAAACGCAAAUCAACUAGGAGUAUCGCUGGGUAGUAAUGACACUGAAAUCUCUAAUUCGGUUAAUGAUCUGCUUGAUCUAGAGGCUGAGCGAGCCUUAGAGAUGAUUCGUAAUAUUGCGGCUGUUAAACCCAUGAGUGAUUCUGAGGUUGAUGUGCUCGGGGUCAGGGUGCUCGACAAUUUUUGUGCGGAUCUUAUGCAACCUAGUACUGAGGGGGAGGUAGAGGAUGAUUCUACUGAGAUGCUUUUGGCUAGCCCCUCUGAGACUGGUUGUGAGGACUAG
rnacentral:rRNA from 1 species